UUUAUUUUUUAUUUUUUUUAAGAUGAGAACUUGAACUCCUGGGCUCAAGCAAUCCACCCACCUCAGCCUCCCAAGGUACUGGGUUAACAGGAGUGAGCCACCACACCUGGCCUAUAAUCUACUUUUUAAACUAAAUAAUACAUUACAUAUAUCUUUCUAAGCUAAUGAACAUACACAUUUUUGGUAGUGAAUAUCUUUAUGUAUUCACCCAGAUCACAAAUGACUCCCUUAACUGUUUUCCCAUCCACUGAAAUAAGCUCAAGCUCUCAUAUUUGUAUUGUGUGACCUUGUCUUCCUGAUCACAGUUUUUUGAAUCAAAUUUACUCUGGGCAAUCAGAUUCUCUUUGCUGGGAAUUUGGAAAUGGGGUUGGUCUCUUGAAAAGAAAAGUAAAAUCAGGAAAAUAGAAUUACUUAAGUAAUCCUUCAAAAUUGGGAUUUUUAUCUUAAAAAGACUGAUGUGAGGUAUUGAAGUAGAUGUUAAAACUUUAAAAUGAUGGUUAUAAAUAAGGGGGGCUGGAUGAAUGAAUGUACAAAGAACAACAACAUCUUAAUUCCUGGAUUCAUAUGUUUUCAAUACUAACCUAAACACCAUAGAAUCACCUAGAGACAACUGUAAUUUCUCUUCUAUUAACCAAAAAACUAUUAAUUUUAAAAGAAUAUUCACAUUAAACAUGGAGCAAUCUGCUUUGUUACGGCUCCACUAUACCUGUGACCUACAUUCUUGUGUAGCAUGCACUAGACUCAUGUUCUCAGCCAGGCUAUGGUGGUCAAUGAUCAUAGUUAGUCUAUCACUGAUACAUGUUUGUCAGCUUGCUCAACCAAACAAACAUCUGUCCCUGUUUGAUCUUAACAUAAAAGUCCAAAGUUAGACUUAUCUCAAAUCCUAGUCAUAGCUAUUAAUGAUUAAGAGAGACAAUGUGAUAGCUCCUAUCUACAAAUAACUAUUUGGAAGGCAGAAGUUUGGAGAGACAUUAACUCUUUCAGACAGUAAAAGAAAAGGGAUGUAACAGGUGAAACAAGACUGACCAUGUUUUAAUAAGCUGGCUAAUAGAUUCGGGUGUACAUGUGCAGGUCUGUUACCUGGGAAUACUGCGUGAUACUGAACUUUGGGGUACAAGUGAUCCUGUCACCCAGGUACUGAGCACAGUACCCAACAGGUAGUUUUUCAACCCUCUCCCUCUAGUAGUCCCCAGUGUGUAUUGUUGCCACCUCUAUGUCCAUGAGUAGCCAGUGUUUAGCUCCCACUUAUAAGUGAGAAUACAUGUUAUUUGGUUUCCUGUUCCUCCCUCAAUUCACUUAGGAUAAUUGCCUCCAACUGCAUCUGUGUUGCUGCAAUUUAUUUAUUUAUUUAUUUAUUUUUUUUGAGACAAGGUGUCACUCUAUUGCCCAGGCUGGAAUGCAGUGGCACAAUCUCAGCUCACUGUAAACUCCACCUCCUGGGCUCAGGUGAUCCUCCCACUUCAGCCUCCCAAAUAGCUGGGGCCACAGGUGUGCACCACCACACCUAGCUAAUUUUUUUGUAUUUUUUGUAGAGACAGGGUUUUGCCACCUUGCUCAGGCUGGUCUCAAACUCCUGGACUCAAGCAAUCUGCCUGCCUCAGCCUGUCAAAGUGUGGGAAUUACAGGCAUGAGCCACUGCACCAUCCUGAUUUCAUUCCUUUUUAUGGCUGCGUAGAAUUCCAUGGUGUAUAUGUACCACAUUUUCUUUAUUCAAUCCUCCACUGAUGGCCACCUAGGUUGAUUGCAUGACUUUGCUACUGUGAAUAGUGCUACAAUGAAUAUUCAAGUGCUUAUGUCUUUUUGGUAGAACAAUUUGUUUUCUUUUGGAUAUAUACCUAGUAAUGGGAUUGCUGGGUCAAAUCAUAGUUCAGUUUUAACUUCUUUGAGAAAACCCCAAACUGUUUUCAACAGCGGCUGAACUAAUUUACAUUCGCACCAACAGUGUAUGAGCAUUUCCUUUUCUACACAGCCUACCAACAUCUGUCGUUUUUUGACUUUUUAAUAAUAGUUGUUCUGGGGCUGGGAGUGGUGGCUCACACAUGUAAUUCCAGCACUUUGGGAGGCUAAGACAAGAGGAUCACUGGAGCUCAGGAAUUCAAGGCCAGCUUGGGCAACAUGACAAAACCUGGUCUCUACAAAAAAUACAAAAAUUAGCUGGGCAUGGGGGCAUGCACCUGUAGUCCCAGCUACUCAGGAGGCUGAGGUAGAAGAAUCUCUUGAGCCUGGGAGACUGAGGCUGCAGUGAGCCAUGAUCAGGCCACUGCACUCCAGCCUGGGUAACAGAGUGAGAUCCUGUCUCUAAAAAAUAAAUUUUAAAAAAGUAUUAUUAGGUCCCACUUUUCAAUUUUUGGUUUUGUUGCAAUUGCUCGAGGGCUUCAUCAUAAUUAUUUCCCAGAAGUCCUUUCCAAAAACACAAUAUAUUGAUCAGAAAUAAGAAUCCUCUCAUGAGUUGUAACCACUUGCAAAAUCAAAACCAAAUUGGUAAAAUGAGUAACCAAAUUGGUUUACUCUUUCAGAAGAAAAACAACUGCAAUAUUCUCAAAAUGUCCACUGGUAGCCAUUUCCCUACAUCAAUAAAAAACUUUAGAAUAUACUUUAUUUAGCUACUAACCUGUAAAAAAUAAAGCACCAUAAAUUCCUGUGUAUGUGUAAAAACAAAGAUUGUGAAGUAACUUCUAAAGAUUAUCUAAUUAGUUCAAGAUUUUUCACAUAAUUCUACAAAAACCUGAAACUCUCUAGGGGAUUCAUAGAAUAUUCUCCAUCCAGAAUUUUGUCAUAAGAGUUUUAUGAAAUUACUGAACUAUUACUUGAAUCUAGAUCAUCCUUAAAACCAGAGAUAUCUACAUUUCCCAAAUCUCUUGCAAAGCAUUUGCAUACCAUGUUAUUUUCAUUAUUUCAAAACAUUCCUUCCCCUUCUAUUCUAUCAACAUAUACAAGAUAUGCUGAAUUUUACUUAGAAGCCAUUUAGCUAUCAUUUAUACACACACACACACACACACACACACACACACUUUCCAAAAUGUAACACCUUCAAAUAUACAUAAUAAAAGACUAAACUUGUAUCUUUUACAGAAAUCUCAAAAUUAAAAUUUAACUGACUUCAACUGGGCAAAACCACACCAUCUCAGUUACUAUAGGUUCAUACUAAGUCUUGAUAGCUGAUAGGGCAAAUUAUUCUUCCCUGCUUUUCUUCUUAAAAUGCCCUGCUGUUUUCAACCACUUACUCUUCUACAUAAAUAUCAUAUAAUCUUAUCAAAUUACAUGAAAAUCUUAUUGGUCUUGAACUCUUUGCCUCAAGAGAUCCUCCUACCUUGGCCUCCCAAAGUGCUGGCAUUACAGGCAUGAGCCACUGAGCCCUUGAAAUCUUACGAGGAUUUUUAUUGAACAUGCACUGAAUUUACAAAUCAACUUGAAAAGAACUGAAAUCUUCACAAUGUUAAAUCUUCCAAUCAAUGAAUAAAGUAUAUGUUUAUUUCAUUCUUUGUUAGUUUUUCUUCAUUUAAAAAUUUUUCCUUUUUUAGGUCUUGCACAUACUUUGUUACAUUUAUUACUAUUAGUACAAAAUAAUAUUAUUGUCAAUGGCAGCUUCCUUUGUUAUUGUUAGUCACUCUAGAAAUGUGAUUGACUUUUGUAUGUUAAUCUUAUAUCCAGCUCCUUUGCUAAAUUUUCACAUUAUUUCUAAUAAUUUGUUUGUAGUUUUCAGAGGGAAAAGGUAUGUAAACCAUCUAUAAUAAUGGCAGUUUUAUUUCUACCUUUCCAAUCUUUACAUAUCUAUUUUUCCAUGUUUAUUGCACUGGUUAAUAACUCUAAUACGGUGUUGAAGAAAAGUAGUAAUAGUAGUAUCCUAGUCAUAUUCCUGAAUUUUAAAAGGAAUGCUUCUAAUAUUUUUCCAAUUAGGAUGAUAAUUGUUCUGGGUUUUCUAAAGACACUCUUUAUGAAGUUAAGGAAAAUUUUAUUCUAUUCCUAAUGAACAAGUGUUGAAUUUUAUCAAAAGCUUUCUUUGUACCUAUUGAGAUGAUCGUAUACAGCUUUUUUAAAAACUCUGUUUUGAACUAACGUAAGACUUACAAAAAAGUUGCAAAAAUAGUACAGAGUUACCUUAUAUUCCUCACUAUGUCGACUAAUGUGGGCAUCUCACAUAUUAUAAAUUAUCUUAAACAGGAAACUAAUGUUAAUUAAAUAUUGUUAAAUAAAAUGUAGAUGUUAUUUAAAUUUUAUCAAUUCUCCUAUUAAUAUCCUUUUUCUAUGUAGGAUUUCAUCCAAGAUCCCACCUCAUAUUUAGUUGUUAUUUCUCUUUGGUCUCCUCUAGUCUAUAAGAGUUUCUCAGUCUUUUCUUUUUCAUUACCUUGACACUUAUGAAGAAUCCUGAUCAAUUAUUUAGUAGAACGUCCUUCCCUUUGGGUUUCUCCAGUGUUUUAUGAUUGGAAUGAAGUUAUGCAUUUUUGGCAAUUCCACAAAAAAUAUGGUGGAUCCUUCUCAAUGGAUAAUAUCAAAGCAUUUAUGAUACCAUACAUCUUAUUACUGGUGAUAUUUAUCCCAAUCACUCAGUUAACUUGGUGUCUGAAGAGUUUUCUUAUAAAUUUAUUAUUUUCCCUCUAGUAUGCUGGUAUCUUGGGGAGAUACUUUGAGACUAUGCAAUGCUCUCUCUCCUCAAACUUUCACCUACUAAUUUUAGCAUCUAUCAGUGCAUUUGUGUCAGUGCAGUAUUUAUUAUUGUGAUCUCUGCCUGAUGGUAAUUCUCUAUUUUUGUGUUUUGUAUUUUUUUUUUUUUCCUUGAGACAGAGUCUCACUCUGUUGCCCGGGCUGAAGUGCAGUGGCAUGAUCACAGCUCACUGCAGCCUCAACCUCCUGGGAUCAAUCUAUCCUCCCACCUCAGCCUCCCGAAUAGCUGGGACUAUAGGGACACACCUCCAAACCUGGUUAAUUUUUCUAUUUUUUGUAGAGACGGGGUUUUGCCAUGUUGCCCAGGCUGGUCUCGAACUCCUGGGCUCAAGCCAUCCACCUGCCUCAGCCUCCCAAAGUGCUGGGAUUAUAGGCAUGAACCACUGAGCAUGGCCAGUAAUUCUCUAUUUUUUUUUCUUUUCUCUCAGAUUUAUUAAUUGGAAUUCCAUUGGAAGGAAGAGCUCUCUCUUCCCCUCUGGUUAGUUAAUGAAAUACAUAUAUCUUUAUGUCAGUAAGGAUUUGUAAAGAUUUUAAUCUAUGGGUUCUAAUCCAAUACUAUCAUUAUUUUCUUACUCAAAUUGCUUCAGCUUUAGCCAGUAGGUGUUCCUUCAGGUUGGCUCUUGCAUUAUUUCAACAUGUCUUGUCUGGCACCACUAGACUUCCAGGCUUAUCCUGAAUUUGCCCUGACCCAGUCCUGUAAUCAACCACUUUUAGCAGAGCUGUUUCCUUUCAUUAGAGAACUAUGUUGGCCAGGCACAAUGGCUCACACCUGUAAUCCCAGCAUUUUGGGAGGCCAAGAUGGGUGGACUGCUGAAGCCCAGGAGUCCGAGACCAGCCAGAGCAACAUGGUGAAAUCCAGUCUCUACAAGAAAUACAAAAAUUAGCCAGGCGUGGUAGUGCACAGCUAUGGUACCGGCUACUUGGAAGGCUGAAGUGGGAGGCUGGCUUGAGCCCAGGAGGCAGAAGUUGGAGUAAGCCGAGAUCACACCACUGUACUCUAGACUGGGCAACAGAGCCAGACCCUGUCUCAAAAAAAAAGAGAGGCCAGGCACAGUGGCUCACACCUGCAAUCUCAGCACUUUGGGAGGCCAAAGUGGGCAGAUCACCUGAGGUUAGGAGUUCAAGACCAGCCUGGCCAACAUGGUGAAACCCCAUCUCUACUAAAAAUACAAAAAUUAUCUGGGCGUGGUGGCACGUACCUGUAGUCCCAGCUACUUGGGAGGCUGAAGCAGGAGAAUUGCUCGAACCCAGGAGGCAGAGGUUGCAGUGAGCUAAGAUCACGCCACUGCACUCCAGCCUGGGUGACAGAACAAGAGUCCAUCUCAAAAAAAAAAAAAAGAAAAGAAAAGAAAAGAAAAGAAAAUGUUUACAGAUGAAGAUCUGGGCACCAGGUAUGCUCAUUAUUACUGGGGAGUAACUGCAUCUGUGCUGUGCUCGCUCAAUGGACAGAACUAGGAGAUGUUUAUGUAUGUGUACUAUCCCACCCAUAUACACAUGCCUAUAUUUCUGUAUCCAUUUAUCUAUAUUAAAAAUCCUCAGUUUAUAACAAUACCUCUGGUUCGUUUUAACCUUCCCUUGUUUAUAAUUUCUUUCUCCAACAGUGAGAAAUCCAGCUUUCCUUAUCUACAAUCUAUGUACUCAUUUGUUCAUUCUAGUAUGUACAUAAGGUUAUUGCUAAGCCAUUCCCCUUUGAGAAACAUAUUUCUAACUAGAUUGCAGCAUUUAUGUACAGUCCUUUCUGUCAUUAGCCUUAUAGAAUCCAGUCAAUAUACUCUUUUCCACAGCUACUUAGGUUUGUUCUUUUCUUCCCCACCCGCUUCUGUGUAGUUAUUUUAUUCAUUUGUAACAAUAUUAGGUUCACUUGUAACAAUAUUACAUUCAUUUGUUAGUGUCACUUCCUCCUGACCCCUGCUAUCCUGUUCCCAUUCCCCACUUUCUUCCACCCCUCUCCUAUGUGCCCCCUGUAGGUGACCAAUCUCUUUAGUUUCUGGUUUAUCCUUCCUGCAUUUUCUUUCCACAAAUAAACCGAGGUAUUUUCUUAUACCUCCAUUCCUUCGUACAGGAAGGACAGCAUACUACAUACAGUUUUGGGGGGUUUAUGUUUUCACAUAACAGUAUGUCCUGGGAAUCACUCCAUAUCAGUUCAUAGAGAUCUUUUUCAUUCUUUUUGUACAGCUGCAUAGUACAUAGUGUUCCACUAUGUGAAUGUAGCAUAACUUAGUGAAUCAUUCUCCUAUAUAUUUUGCAAUUAUAAACAAUACUGCAAUGAAUAACCUUGUGAUAUGUAUUUUCAUAUUGUUGGAGGUGUAGCUUCAGGGUAGAUUCCUAGAAGUGGGAUUGCUAGGUUGAAAGCUAAGUACAUAUGUAAUUUUGUUAGAUAUUGCCAAAUAUCCCUUCACAAGGGUUGUAGCAAUUUGCAUUCCUACCACCAAUGUAUUAAGAGGGCACAUUACCUCACAGUUGCGCCAACAGAAUGUGCUUUUUUUUAAUUUUGCCAAUCUGAUAGGUGAGAAAUGGUAUCUCCAUGUAGUUUUAAUUUGAAUUUCUCUAAUAAGUUAUAUUUGAUAGCCAUUUUUAUAUCUUUUUUUGAAAACUGACUGUUCAUCUCUUUUUCACAUUUUCCCUUUUGCCAGGCUAGAGUGCAGUGGCAUGAAUACAGCUCACUGCAGCCUCGACCUCCUGGGCUCAAACAAUCCUCCUGCCUCAGCCUCCAACGUAGCUGGGACCAUAGGCAUGCACCACCACACCGGGCUGAUUUUUUGACUUUUUGUAGAGACAGGGUCUCACUAUGUUGCCCAGGCUGGACUCAAACUCCUGAGCUCAAGUGAUUCUCCCACCUCAGCUUUCCAAAAUGCUAUGAUUACCAGUGUGAACAACCACACCCAGCCUUUGUCACUCAGGGUUUAAAAGUUCUUUAUAUAUUAGGGAUAUUAGCCUUUUGUUGUAUGUUACAAAUAUUUUCUCCAAGUUUGUCAGUUGUCUUUUGACUUUGUUUAUAGUGUUUUGGUUAUGCAAAAUUUAUUUUUCUAUAGUAAAAUGUAUCAGUUUAUCUUCUACUGCCCCUGGAUUCUGAGUAAUAUUAAGAAAAAGCCUUUCCCUACACCAAGAUUACAGAGGAUUCAUUCAGGUUUCUUUCUUGUUGUUGCAUGAUUUUAUUUUUUACAUUUAGACUAUUAAUCCAUAUGGUGUUUAUUACUGUUUGUUGUGAGAUAUGUGUCCAAUUUUCCCUUUUUUCCAAAUGGCUACCCAGUUGUCUCAGCACCAUUUAUUAAGAAGUUAGCUUUUAUCUCACUGAUUCCAGAUACUAUCUUUGUCAUAUAUUAAAUUGCUAUAUGUAGGUGGGUCUAAUUCUAAUCUUCUUACUCUGUUCCACUGGUCUACUUGUCUAUUCAUGCAUCAGUACUUCACUGUUUUAAUUACAGAGGCUUUAUAGUAUGUUUUAACAUCUGGUAAAGCUAGUUCCCCUCCUCUGUAGUUUUCCUUUGUCAGUCUUUUCCUAGCUAUUCUUGCAUGUCUGUUUUCCCCUAUGAGCUUUAGUAUCAACUUUUAUAUGCCAUAACAUAUAUAUUUUCAUUGGAACUACAUUGAAUUUACAUAUUAACUUAGGAAGAACUGACAUCAUUAUAAUGUUGAGUCAUCCUAUCCAAGAACAGGGAAUGUCUUUCCAUUUCUUCAUGUCUUCAUUUCUUUCUGGAGUGUUUAAAUUUUUUCCUCAUAUAGGCUUUGCAUAUUUCUUGUUAACUGUAUUUUGAACUAUCUUCUUUAUUACUAUAGUAAAUGAGUUUUUCACUAUCAUUAUGCCCUCUGUUUAUUAUUUGUGUAUAUUAAGUCUAAUUACUAUUAUUAUUUUUUUUUGAGACAGGGCCUUGCUCUGUUGCCCAGGCUGGAGUACAGUGGUGCAAUCACAGCUCACUGCAACCUCAUCCCCCAGCCUGGGCUCAAGCAAUCCUUUUACCUCAGCCUCCCAAACAGCUGGGACCACAGGUGGGUGCCACCACACCCAGCUUUUUUUUCUUUUUCUUUUUCUUUUUUGUAGCCCAGGCUGGUCUUGAAUUCCUGGGCUCAAGCUGUCCACCCACUUUCAUCUCCCAAAGGGCUAGAAUUACAGACGCAAACCACUGCACUCAGCCUAAUGAUAUUUUUUAACACUAAUUUUGCAUUCUGUUAUAUCACUGAAUUAUCUUAUUAUUUAAAUUUGUUUUAACUUUGAUUCCCUGGAGUUUUCAGGUAUGUUAUCAGAGCAUUUGUAAAUAGAAAUAAUUUUCAUUCUUCUUUAUCCAUUCAAAUGCCUCUUCUUUCUUUUUUUUUUUUUGGAGACCGAAUCUCACUCUGUCGCUCAGGCUGCAGUGCAGUGUAGUGGUGCUCACUGCAACCUCCACCUCCCAGGUUCAGGCAAUUCUCAUGCCUCAGCCUCCUGAGUAGCUGGGACCACAGGCAUGCACCACCACACCUGGCUAAUUUUUCAUCUUUUUAGUACAGACAGGGUUUUGCUAUGUUGGCCAGGCUGGUCCCAAACUCCUGGCCUCAAGUGAUCCGCCCACCUUGGCCUCCCAAAGUGCUGGGAUUACAGGCGUGAGCCACCGCACCAGACCAGAUGCCUCUUCUUGUCUAAGUGCAUUAGCUGAUAAUUCUAGUAUAAGAUGAAUAGUUGCAGAGAUAGUGGACAUCCUUAUCUUUUUCCUGGUUUUAAUGACAAUGCCUCGAGUGCUUUUCUAUUAAAUAAGACAUUGGCAUUAGGACUAAGUAUCUAUUUUAUUGAUAUAGUAUUAAUCAUAUUAUAAUGCUGUAUUGAUGCUAUAUUUAUUUAAGAAAAAAAAUUUUUUUGAGACAAGGUCUGACUCCGGUCACCCAGGCUGAAGUGCUGUGGUACAAUCAUGGCUCACUGCAGCCUCAACUUUCUUUCCCACUUAAGCCUCCCUAGUAGCUGUAACUACAGGUGUGCACCACUACACCUGGCUAAUUUUUCCGUAUUUUUAGUAGAGAUGAGGUUUCACCAUAUCAUCCAGGCUGGUGUCGAGCUCCUGGGCCCAAGUAAUCCUCCUGCCUCAGCCACCCAAAGUGCUGGGAUUACAGGCAUAAGCCACUGUGCCAGGCUGAUACUAUAUUUAUUGAUACUGAAAGGGAAAGUAUCCUAGUAUAUUACUAGUUAACAGUAUUAUACAAACGUUGAUUUCCUGUUGUUGAUAUUGUACUAAAGUUAUAUAAGAUAUCACCAUUGGGAGAAGCUAGAAGAAGAGUUCAUGGGACUUUAUGUAUUAUUUUUGCAAUCCCCUGUGAUUCUAUAAUUAUACAGAUAUUUAUUAUUUAAAAAACUUUUAAAUUUGAAAUAUUAUCUGUAUGCUAAUAACUCUAAAAUUUGCCUCUUAAUUUUAAACCUGUCUUCUGAGUCCUGAACUUUGUUUCCAGUUCUUAUAUGACAUUUCCACUUGAAUAUCUCAAAGAUAUCUAAAACUUAACAUGCCUUGAAACAUAGUCCUUUUCCCCACAAACCAGUUCCCUCUCAGUCUUUCCCAAUAAAGGCUACCUAGUUACUUAAACCAGUAAUUCAGUAGCAGUAGAUUGUCCCUCUUCCCUGAUCCCCAGACCCACAUCAUCAGAAAAUCCUAUUAACUCUAUUUACAAAUAUAUCUCAGCUCUUUAGCUCCACUGGCCUCCCAUUAUCUCUCAACUGCAGCUAUUGUAACAACUUCCUAACCCUGAUUCUACUCCAUGAUCAAUCCUUCUCAACUAGAACCACGGCAUUCUGUAUCUUAACCCUUUGUUAGUUUCCUUCAUAGCACUCAUUAUCACCUGCACAUAUUUUACUUAUAUGUCUGUUUCAUUCAUUUUUUUUGGUCUGUCUUCCACAUGAGAACAUAAGCUCCAGGAGGACAGGCACCAUUGUACCCCCAGUGUACAGUAAACACAGUGCCUGAAACAAUGUCAACACAUAAUAAAUAUAUAUUGGAUAGAUGAAGAACUCUAUUUUAGUUGUCUAUGAAAUAUGUCAGAGUUGGUUUUCUGCUGAUGGGCCACCCUAGUAUAUAAUGAAACCUUGCCCAUUCCAAACACAGUUCUUGUUAUUCUAAUUGUUGCUCUUCCCUUCUACUUGCUCUGCCUUUCUUUAAGAAUUCAAAGAUUGGAAUUCCAUGCUCUAUCUUCCAUAUAUAUAUCCUAUAACUUUCCUAUUAUUCCAGUUAUCUUCUUGUAUAAUCAGUAUAUUUCUCUAGCUAUUUUCUUGUAUGAUAUUUCAGCAUUUUAUCAAAUAUAUUUUGCUAGCUUAUUAUUUCUCCCUCUAAUAUUACUAUGUUACUACUACAUUAUGUGCAGGUUCAACAUCUUAUAUUCAUUUUCUCACUUAAUCUUCAUAACAACCCUAUAAGGUAUAUAUGUAUUUUUAUCUCCAUUUCACAGAAAAGGAGACAAAAGUAUAGUGAAGUGAAAUACAUUGCCUAAAGACAAAGACUGGAAGUAAGAGGGCCAGUAUUCAAAUCCUGGUCUAUCUGAGUCCAGUGACCAUAACCACAAGUUUAUACUGUUUCCCUUACUUUGUUUUCUUUCUUUUUUUUAUGUUAUUUUAUUUCCUAGAGGAGGAGAUAGCUGCUAGUUUCCUCAUUAAACAGCUUCUUUUAAAGAAGAGAAAACUGGACAUUAAAGAAGAAAGAUAGCUUUUCUUAGCAGUGGUAGACAGGAGAAUAAGGAUUCAAACCACAGCUGUCUGAAUACGAGACCAAUACAUUUUUAUUACCUCAAGGAUUCUUAAUCAGAGGCUCAGAAGUUCCACAGAAGAACUUCAGAGGUCCGUGGAAUGCUUUAGAAUUAUAAGCAAAAUUUUGUGCCUAUCUACAUAAGUCCAGUUUUCUGGAGAAAUGGUCUAUAGAUUCUCAAAGAGGUCUCUGACUCCCUAAAAGGUGAAGAACCACCACUAUACUGAUGGCCUAAGAAAACGAAACAUGAGACCCAAUACUUCUUAAAAUAAAUGUGAUUUACAAUGUACAAGUUCAUUUCUUAAAAUUCUAUUUUCAUUCUUACUAAUGAAAAGAAACCAAUACUCUCCAACUGUUUAGAAAACAUUUUGUAAAAGAACCAUUUUAACCCUAAUCUUUCCUAGUAUGUUUUUAUACUUUAAACACUACUACAU